rnacentral:misc_RNA from 1 species
AAUGUCGUAACAAGGUUUCCGUAGGUGAACCUGCGGAAGGAUCAUUAGAAAGGUCUGUUCGCCGUGAGACGCGCGCGAACCUACCUUCAAACCACUGUGAAACCACUUGUUGUUCGCGGCAGUCCUCCGCCCCGGGCGGAAGGGCCGUCAGUCCGCAGAGCCCAACCAAAAAAGCUUCUUUGUAAGUCUGUCGAGAAAAAAAAUCAUGAAUUAAAACUUCGUUAAAAACCU